AAUCAACGCUGGCGGCGUGCCUCAGACAUGCAAGUCGAACGCUGCUAUUCGCCUUCGGGUGGACAGCGGAGUGGCGCACGGGUGAGUAACACGUAGGUAAUCUACCUUUGGGUGGGGAAUAACAGCCGGAAACGGCUGCUAAUACCGCAUAAAUGCAGCGGCAUCACAUGAUGACAGUUGUUAAAGCGGGGGAUCGUAAGACCUCGCGCCUGAAGAGGAGCCUGCGGCAGAUUAGGUAGUUGGUGAGGUAAUGGCUCACCAAGCCUGCGAUCUGUAACCGGCCUGAGAGGGCGGUCGGUCACACUGACACUGACAUACGGGUCAGACUCCUACGGGAGGC
rnacentral:rRNA from 1 species